rnacentral:rRNA from 2 species
GGGAUAUCUUUAGUAAUUGCGAAUGAACAAGGAUAUGCUUAGCUUGACAAAUGGAGCUAUUGGCUUUGAAUUGUAUUGUGGAAAUGUAUUACCAACAGAGGUGCAGGUGCCAGCCUAUUGAAAUAAAGCGUCAAUGAGGGUGAGAAUCCUGUUUGUCAUGUGCAGCCCUUUGUGCACGGUGUAUAUUUGCUGAGUCACACUCCUUGGCAUUGGAAUGCAAAGUGGGUGGUAAGUUUCAUGUAAAGGUAAACAUGCAAUUGAGACUGAUAGCACACAAGUACCAUGAGGGAAAUAUGAAAAGGACUUUGAAAAGAGAAUUAAAUGAGUUUGUAUUUGCUGAACACAAAGUAAACAGACUUGAUUUGCUUGGUGGGAGUGUUGCACUUGCUUGACAAGAGCUUUGGGCUGUGGGUGUAAUGAUUCUUUCUUUGCAUGCCAGUUUCUAUUUGUACAUCUGAUUACCUUUGCACAUGAAUGAUAAGUCUCCUGUGGGGGGUGGAUUGCAUGUGCAUGUAAUGAUUUGUGUUUUGAUAAAUGUGUCUGGUGUAUGUGUGUGUUCCUGUGCUUGGGGAUGCUUCCUUCCUUGGACUUACAAGCCCUGACACACACAUGCUGGCAAAAUGCUUCUGCUUGACCCGUCUUGAAACACGGACCAAGGAGUCUAACAGAUGUGCAAAGUUUGAAGGUGGUAUACCUUUGUGUGCAAUGAAAGUGUCAGCUGGGAUAUGUGCACCAGCACCCAAUUAAUUAGCGGACAGAGGUUUGAGUUGGAGCAUAUCUAUUAGGACCCGAAAGAUGGUGAACUAUGCCUGAACAGAAUGAAUUCAGAGGAAACUCUGAUGGAGGUUCGUAUCGAUACUGACGUGCAAAUCGUUCGUCAUAUUUGGGUAUAGGGGCGAAAGACUAAUCGAACCAUCUAGUAGCUGGUUCCCUCCGAAGUUUCCCUCAGGAUAGCUGGAGUUGCUCAGUUUUAUCAGGUAAAGCGAAUGAUUAGAGGAAUUGGGGACAGGUUUGUCUUUGACCUAUUCUCAAACUUUAAAUGGGUAAUAUGUAGUGGUUGCUGUAUGGAACUUCUAAGAUAAAUGGCAAUAUUGGGUGGGCCAUUUUUGGUAAGCAGAACUGGCGAUGAGGGAUGAACCUAAUGUGGGGCUAAGGUGCUUAAUUACUUGCUCAUUUGAUACCAGAAAGGGUGUUGGUUCAUUUUAACAGCAGGACGGUGGUCAUGGAAGUCGAAAUCCGCUAAGGAGUGUGUAACAACUCACCUGCCGAAUGGACUAGCCCCGAAAAUGGAUGGCGCUCAAGCGGGUGACUGAUACCCAACCAUUGUUGUAAACAACAUCAAUGUGUAGGAGGGCAUGGUGGCUUGUGACACAGCCUUUGG